rnacentral:rRNA from 1 species
UACGAAGGGGGCUAGCGUUGCUCGGAAUGACUGGGCGUAAAGGGCGCGUAGGCGGUUCAUACAGUCAGAUGUGAAAUUCCCGGGCUUAACCUGGGGGGCUGCAUUUGAUACGUGUGGGCUUGAGUGAGGAAGAGGGUUGUGGAAUUCCCAGUGUAGAGGUGAAAAUUCGUAGAUAUUGGGAAGAACACCGGUGGCGAAGGCGGCAACCUGGUCCUUUACUGACGCUGAGGCGCGAAAAGCGUGGGGGAGCAAACAGG